CGCGGCCUAUCAGCUUGUUGGUGGGGUAGUGGCCUACCAAGGCGACGACGGGUAGCCGGCCUGAGAGGGUGACCGGCCACACUGGGACUGAGACACGGCCCAGACUCCUACGGGAGGCAGCAGUGGGGAAUAUUGCGCAAUGGGCGAAAGCCUGACGCAGCGACGCCGCGUGGGGGAUGGCGGCCUUCGGGUUGUAAACCUCUUUCAGCAGGGACGAAGCGAAAGUGACGGUACCUGCAGAAGAAGCACCGGCCAACUACGUGCCAGCAGCCGCGGUAAUACGUAGGGUGCAAGCGUUGUCCGGAAUUAUUGGGCGUAAAGAGCUCGUAGGCGGUUUGUUGCGUCGGCUGUGAAAACCUGAGGCUCAACCUCAGGCCUGCAGUCGAUACGAGCAGACUAGAGUGUUGCAGGGGAGACUGGAAUUCCUGGUGUAGCGGUGAAAUGCGCAGAUAUCAGGAGGAACACCGGUGGCGAAGGCGGGUCUCUGGGCAACAACUGACGCUGAGGAGCGAAAGCGUGGGGAGCGAACAGGAUUAGAUACCCUGGUAGUCCACGCCGUAAACGUUGGGCGCUAGGUGUGGGGCUCAUUCCACGAGUUCCGUGCCGCAGCUAACGCGUUGAGCGCCCCGCCUGGGGAGUACGG
rnacentral:rRNA from 1 species